UACGUAGGGUGCGAGCGUUGUCCGGAAUUACUGGGCGUAAAGAGCUCGUAGGUGGUUUGUCGCGUUGUCCGUGAAAACUCACAGCUUAACUGUGGGCGUGCGGGCGAUACGGGCAGACUGGAGUACUGCAGGGGAGACUGGAAUUCCUGGUGUAGCGGUGGAAUGCGCAGAUAUCAGGAGGAACACCGGUGGCGAAGGCGAGUUCCUGGACAGUAACUGACGCUGAGGCACGAAGGCCAGGGGAGCAAACGGG
rnacentral:rRNA from 1 species